rnacentral:rRNA from 1 species
AGAGUUUGAUCAUGGCUCAGGACGAACGCUGGCGGCGUGCUUAACACAUGCAAGUCGAACGGUGACGGAGAGCUUGCUCUCCUGAUCAGUGGCGAACGGGUGAGUAACACGUGGGCAACCUGCCCCAGACUUCGGGAUAACGCUUCGAAAGAGGUGCUAAUACCGAAUACGAACCUCCCUGGCAUCUGGGAGGUUGGAAAGUUUUUCGGUCUGGGAUGGGCCCGCGGCCUAUCAGCUUGUUGGUGAGGUAACGGCUCACCAAGGCGACGACGGGUAGCCGGCCUGAGAGGGCGACCGGCCACACUGGGACUGAGACACGGCCCAGACUCCUACGGGAGGCAGCAGUGGGGAAUAUUGCGCAAUGGGCGAAAGCCUGACGCAGCAACGCCGCGUGAGGGAUGACGGCCUUCGGGUUGUAAACCUCUUUCAGCAGGGAAGAAGCGAAAGUGACGGUACCUGCAGAAGAAGCACCGGCUAACUACGUG